GACCAAAAAAGGGGAAGGGUGUGCACUUUUAUUCAACUGGUCUCAAGUCAGUAUACAGGUAAGCCCUGGCUGUCUCCACCCACUCCCAGGGAGACCAAAAGGCUUCAUACAUCUCAAGUUGGGGGACACAAAAGGGGGCCACGAAGGCUGAUCAUUCAAAAUAAAACAAAAUAAAAAAGUAUUAAGGCAAAGAUUAAAAAA